CCCCGUACGGUAGAGAUUUGCCAGGAGCAGUGCGCGCCCUUAAACGCUGCCCUCAGGAAGAAGGGGUUUCCCGGUUGCUGUGUUUGAACACGUCCCCACUAGGAAAAGAAGGCUGGGAUUGCUGUUCCAGAUUGUUCUGCACGCAAGACAGAGAGAGCGACUGUCACGGCUCCAGAGCUCUGAUUUAGCCAGAGUUUUCAGAUGCCGAAGAUCUGCAAGGAAACGCAUCUUUUCUUCUCUGACCCUUUUUCUCGCAACUGACUUUAGAAGCGUAUUUCCAAAAGUCAGCAGUUCCACUUCAAGAUGCUAGAGCUCAAAGGCUGUUAGAAGAUGUUCCAAUCUCAUAUAUGAUGUCUGCAUGUCCAAGUAAUGAUGGAUCAUACUGAACUGCCAUACUACCAUGUCCUCUAUCAUCAGGAAGGGGGUGUAAAAUUCUUCCUCCUCUAUCAGGAAGCAAUUCCAUACUGGGACUGACACAUAGAAAACAGUACUCAUCUCUCAGCAGUUCACCAAUGCAGACCUUGAAUUUAUUAUCAGAUGAGCUGUGCAGGUUCUUGUCUCCAAAUCCUGAGUGGGAGAUCUGCAUUGGUAUCCUCAAAGUAGUCUGUGAACGGGAGCCACUCAAGUAGAUUUGCGUUGUCCACAUCAGGAAUAAACGUCACUUCUUGUCUCAAAUAUUUUAGCGCCUGAGGUCUUUCUCUUAGGUUCAUUGCGGUCGCAUGGUCAGACCGUCGGGUGUGCGCCUCUCUUCCAGUCCCAUUGCUUCC